GCUGAGCAGGGGGGCUUCACCAGGGCUCCAGGCCCCACAGGUCAGACACCAGGUGCUAACCCCUCCCAGCUCUGCUGUCAAAGAUGGAGCAAGGGCAGAUUGUGGCUGGUGAAAGGGGGAGAUGUGGGCUUGUUGGUCCCAGCCAGGAUGGAGACAGUGGGAUCUGUGGGUUGGAUCUGGGCAGGCAGAGGGAGGGUCCCGGGCUCGAGGGGCGCAAGUCUGACCCCUCUCCCCCACAGCUGGCAAAGCAGGUCGAGAUCUCCCUGGAGCUGAAGAAGGCCAGGCUACGAGAUCCCGGAGGAGACCUGGAGAGUCUCUCCUCCAGGGAUAGCGGAGGACCUGAGAUGUCGGGUUGGCCUGUUACUCAGUGAGGGGGGAGUGUGGAAAUGACCGAGGUGCCUAAUGACGUCUUUGUCUCGGUGGCGAGCAGCCAGCUAACGUAGUGAACGCCGGUGAAAACGAGGACCUGAUGAUAUGCCUCCUGGGAUCCUCAGGGAGCUGCCUGAGGAGAUGGCUGAGCCGUGGGCGACUAGCUUUGAGAAGGCCUGGCAGACGGGAGAGAUUCCGGAUGACCAGAAAAGGGCAAAUCUAGUGGGCAGCUCUAAAAAGGGGAAGGAGAAGAACUCGGGAAUUACGGACCAGUCAGCGUCACUUCUGUACCCGGAAAGAUAAUGGAGCAAAUCAUUAAGCAGUUGAUUUGCAAACACCUAGAAGAUAUUGAGGUGAUAAGUGACAGUUGCGUGGAUCUGUCAAGAACAAAUUGUGUCAAACCAACCUGAUACCUUUCAUUGACAGUGUAACAAGCCGUGUGGACGGGAGGAAGUGCUAGACGUGGUAUAGACUUUAGUAAAGCUUUUGAUUCUG